AUUGAACGCUGGCGGCAUGCUUUACACAUGCAAGUCGAACGGUAACAGGUUAAGCUGACGAGUGGCGAACGGGUGAGUAAUGCAUCGGAACGUGCCCGAUCGUGGGGGAUAACGCAGCGAAAGCUGCGCUAAUACCGCAUACGAUCUGAGGAUGAAAGCGGGGGACCGUAAGGCCUCGCGCGAUCGGAGCGGCCGAUGUCAGAUUAGGUAGUUGGUGGGGUAAAGGCCCACCAAGCCGACGAUCUGUAGCUGGUCUGAGAGGACGACCAGCCACACUGGGACUGAGACACGGCCCAGACUCCUACGGGAGGCAGCAGUGGGGAAUUUUGGACAAUGGGCGAAAGCCUGAUCCAGCAAUGCCGCGUGCAGGAAGAAGGCCUUCGGGUUGUAAACUGCUUUUGUACGGAACGAAACGGCCCUUUCUAAUACAGGGGGCUAAUGACGGCACCGUAAGAAUAAGCACCGGCUAACUACGUGCCAGCCGCCGCUGUAA
rnacentral:rRNA from 1 species